CACGUAGGGGGCAAGCGUUGUCCGGAUUUACUGGGCGUAAAGAGCGUGUAGGCGGCCAAGCAGGUCCGUUGUGAAAACUGGAGGCUUAACCUCCAGACGUCGACGGAAACCGCGUGGCUAGAGUCCGGAAGAGGAGAGUGGAAUUCCUGGUGUAGCGGUGAAAUGCGCAGAUAUCAGGAAGAACACCAAUGGCGAAGGCAGCUCUCUGGGACGGUACUGACGCUGAGACGCGAAAGCGUGGGGAGCGAACAGG
rnacentral:rRNA from 1 species